AUACUCUGGUUUCUCUUCAGGUCAUAUAAAUCUUUCUCCUUUUACUAAAGAUUUCCGUGUUAGGAAGUGGAAAGACUUGGAAAAAAUUAUAUUAAGUGAAGU
rnacentral:snRNA from 1 species